rnacentral:rRNA from 1 species
UACGGAGGAUGCGAGCGUUUAUCCGGAUUUAUUGGGUUUAAAGGGAGCGUAGGCCGGCUUUUAAGUCAGCUGUGAAGUCCGCGGCUCAACCGUGGAAUUGCAGUUGAAACUGGAGGCCUUGGAGUGCACACAGGGAUGCCGGAAUUCAUGGUGUAGCGGUGAAAUGCUUAGAUAUCAUGAAGAACUCCGAUCGCGAAGGCAAGUGUCCGGGGUGCAACUGACGCUGAGGCUCGAAAGUGCGGGUAUCAAACAGGG